GAUGAACGCUGGCGGCGUGCCUAAUACAUGCAAGUCGAGCGAAUGGAUUAAGAGCUUGCUCUUAUGAAGUUAGCGGCGGACGGGUGAGUAACACGUGGGUAACCUGCCCAUAAGACUGGGUUAACUCCGGGAAACCGGGGCUAAUACCGGAUAACAUUUUGAACCGCAUGGUUCGAAAUUGAAAGGCGGCUUCGGCUGUCACUUAUGGAUGGACCCGCGUCGCAUUAGCUAGUUGGUGAGGUAACGGCUCACCAAGGCAACGAUGCGUAGCCGACCUGAGAGGGUGACCGGCCACACUGGGACUGAGACACGGCCCAGACUCCUACGGGAGGCAGCAGUAGGGAAUCUUCCGCAAUGGACGAAAGUCUGACGGAGCAACGCCGCGUGAGUGAGGAAGGCUUUCGGGUCGUAAAACUCUGUUGCUAGGGAAGAACAAGUGCUAGUUGAAUAAGCUGGCACCUUGACGGUACCUAACCAGAAAGCCACGGCUAACUACGUGCCAGCCGCCGCCGUAA
rnacentral:rRNA from 1 species